rnacentral:misc_RNA from 1 species
UUUAUAUAUAUAAACAUGUAUGUAAGCCGAAUUUCUCCGAAAUUAUCAAACACUGCUCAAAAGAAAAUCUCCUCUUGUAUCAUGCAGGCGGAUUUUACUAGAUCCAGCAUUGAAUAACUCGAAGAAAACAAGCAAAGCCAGCCAAAGAGAGAGCAGAGAAAUCAAAGGAGAUUUAUUGAUAGCAGGGAGGAGGGAGGCGGUGGCAAAGAGCUGAGGAAAGCGAGAGGCAGAACAGCACCGACGUUAGA